GGGCCGUUAGCUCAGUUGGUUAGAGCAGAGGACUUGACGGGGAGGUUCCUGUCCCCAGGCGACGGCCUGGGAAUGGAGCGGCACCCAAUGGGUUGCUCAAGGUAAGUUCACUCUGCCUUGAAGUAGAACUUCUCAAAUUCGGUGAACGCUACUGCGCGUCUGCGCGCUAUGCCAACGCCGAGCGAAGCCCUCCGCAAGGAGGGAACGUGUAGAGACUCGACGGGAAGGCCGAAAGGCAAGACAGAGUCCAGGCCACGAACCGGAAACGGGCGGCGAAAGCCGAAGUGGCACGCAUAAUCCUUUGGUCGCUGGUUCGAGCCCAGCACGGCCUACCA
rnacentral:tRNA from 1 species